rnacentral:rRNA from 1 species
CCUACGGGUGGCAGCAGUGGGGAAUAUUGGACAAUGGGCGAAAGCCUGAUCCAGCCAUGCCGCGUGUGUGAAGAAGGCCUUCGGGUUGUAAAGCACUUUCAGUGGGGAAGAAAGCCUUGGGGCUAAUACCCUCGAGGAAGGACAUCACCCACAGAAGAAGCACCGGCUAACUCCGUGCCAGCAGCCGCGGUAAUACGGAGGGUGCGAGCGUUAAUCGGAAUUACUGGGCGUAAAGCGCGCGUAGGCGGUCUGAUAAGCCGGUUGUGAAAGCCCCGGGCUCAACCUGGGAACGGCAUCCGGAACUGUCAGGCUAGAGUGCAGGAGAGGAAGGUAGAAUUCCCGGUGUAGCGGUGAAAUGCGUAGAGAUCGGGAGGAAUACCAGUGGCGAAGGCGGCCUUCUGGACUGACACCGACGCUGAGGUGCGAAAGCGUGGGUAGCAAACAGGAUUAGAUACCCGAGUAGUC